rnacentral:rRNA from 1 species
AUGCAGAAUGUGAUCUACGAGGGUAGGCAUGGCGGUGCCUACGAUCCGGACGAGACCCAAAGUCAGGAUGGCCGCGCCCAGUACGUUGCCGAUGAAGAGCCCAACGACCGUGCUGACUACGACCAUGGUGACGCAUGGCAUGAAGACGAUGACAUCUAUUGCGAAGGUGAUGGUGAUGAAGAAGAAGGCAAUGACAUUGAUAUUAGUGACGAGCCAUUGUUCAUCGACGAGCUCACCCAAAGAACGGAAGCACAAAAGAGGAGGAAGAGCAUUCGCAUAGGUUCAUAUUCACAAGAGGAGGACAAGUUGAUUUGCCAAUGUUGGAUGGAGAUUAGCCAGGAUUCGAGGACCGGCACGCAAUAAAAGGGCCUUGUUUUUUGGACGAGAGUCCACAAAACAUUCCAUGAAAGGAAGAUGUUUGAGCCCUAUCGAAUUACGAGCAAGCGUGGCAUCACCUUGAUUCAAAAGAGGUGGUUGUUCAUCCAACAAGAGUGCAACAAGUAUUGUACCGCACUUGAGAGCGUUGAAGCACGGCCCGUGAGUGGUCUCGGCAUUGGGGACAUGGUAUGCUCUCCACAUUCUAGUUCUUUCGUUGCUACGGCCAUGAGACUUCGGCCUUGUAUAUGUUUGCAUGUUCAAUUGUGGUUGAUCAUGUGGUGUAAGCAUUUCAAUUUUUGGAAGCAUUCAAGGCCCGGCAAUAUGACAACCCAUUCACUCUUACGCAUUGUUGGUCGAUCAUCAACAAUUGCCCUAAGUUCAAGGAUCAAUACCGUGAACUUCAAAGGAAGAGAGGCAAGAAGACGGCCGCGUUGGCCGGAGGUGGAGAUGGCGAGGCGUUGA